GGAGGGGGAAUAAGACAGAUAUGUCUUUCCAUAAGUGCACUUGCAACCUAUCAAUUUACAUGCUAACUGUAGGGCAGCUUUUAAGAUUAUCUUGUUUUUCUGCAGCAAGGAAUACAAUGACCUAUACCAGCAUUUCCAUAGAUAAAUCAAAAUUUUCAAAUAUUUUUAGAAAUAAUUCGUACCAAAAGCAGGGCUUAAGGGUUCCUUUAGGAAUAAACCAU
rnacentral:lncRNA from 1 species